ACCGCUCAGUAACACGUGGAUAACAUGCCCUAAGGUGGGGGAUAAUCUCGGGAAACUGAGGAUAAUACCCCAUAGGUCUUCUCUGCUGGAAUGCUUGAAGGCCGAAAACUCCGGUGCCUUAGGAUUGGUCUGCGGCCUAUCAGGUUGUAGUGGGUGUAAUGGACCCACUAGCCCGUGACGGGUAUGGGCCUUGAGAGAGGGAGCCCAGAGAUGGACUCUGAGACAUGAGUCCAGGCCCUACGGGGCGCAGCAGUCGCGAAAACUUCGCAAUGGGGGCAACCCCGACGAGGGAAUUCCAAGUGCCAGCACUUUGUGUUGGCUGUUCUCCUGUCUAAAAAACAGGAGGAGUAAGGGGCGGGUAAGACGGGUGCCAGCCGCCGCGGUAAUACCCGCGCCCCUAGUGGUGGUCGAUAUUAUUGAGCCUAAAACGUCCGUAGCCGGUCUUUUAAAUCUUUGGGCAAAUCGGGCAGCUUAACUGUCCGACUUCCGAGGAGACUGGAAGACUUGGGACCGGGAGAGGUCAGAGGUACUUCUGGGGUAGGGGUAAAAUCCUGUAAUCUUGGAAGGACCACCGGUGGCGAAGGCGUCUGACUGGAGCGGAUCCGACGGUGAGGGACGAAGCCCUGGGGCGCAAACGGGAUUAGAUACCCCGGUAGUCCAGGGUGUAAACGCUGCGGGCUUGGUGUUGGGGGUCCUUCGUGGGCGCCCAGUGCCGGAGAGAAGUUGUUAAGCCUG
rnacentral:rRNA from 1 species